AGGUCCACUCAGGUUCAAAAAGAGGGGACACCACUUGAUGGGGGAACGUCAAUGUCACAAUAUAAGAAGAACAAGUAGAACGGGAUUUGUUACAGCAGAUUUCUUUGGAAAAUACGAUCUGCCACCAUGAGACAACAAAUUCAAAUAAUUAGGGGUGUAUCAGGCACGAUUCGAGAUGCUGAGAUAGAGCCGAGAAGAAGACGGACAGAAUCCCUGUCCUCAGGAAUCUUGCUCGCGGGCGGGAGAAGACAGAUCAUGAACACUCUUCCACGCAGGAGACAAAUUCAGCCAACACCUGCCUCCUGAAGAGCCUCCAACCUCUGGCUAGCAGUCCAGCCUCCAUCAUCCCCCAGCACCCAGCGACGCUCCUCUCCCCCAGUGACUUCAGGUUGAGGUGACUUUGGCAGGAAACAGCUCCAGCCCCUCCCUGCAGUCUGAAGGGUAAUGCUGGCAGCCACGGGGAUGAACUGAGCAGGUCAGGAUGGAAGCAGGGUGACUUGGGAGGACAUAAGGCGGCCUG